rnacentral:rRNA from 1 species
GACGUAGGGCGCGAGCGUUGUCCGGAUUUAUUGGGCGUAAAGAGCUCGUAGGCGGCUUGUCGCGUCGUUCGUGAAAACCUGCAGCUCAACUGCAGGCUUGCGGUCGAUACGGGCAGGCUGGAGUUCGGUAGGGGAGACUGGAAUUCCUGGUGUAGCGGUGAAAUGCGCAGAUAUCAGGAGGAACACCGGUGGCGAAGGCGGAUCUCUGGGCCUUACCUGACGCUGAGGCGCGAAAGCUAGGGGAGCGAACAGG